GAAGUGUUAGUAAAACUAUUACAUAGCUUUGUCAAGGCUAAAUUACAGGUGAAAAUCCAGUACACUUCA
rnacentral:tRNA from 1 species